CCUACGGGAGGCAGCAGUGAGGAAUAUUGGUCAAUGGACGAGAGUCUGAACCAGCCAAGUAGCGUGAAGGAUGACUGCCCUAUGGGUUGUAAACUUCUUUUAUAUGGGAAUAAAAUGUUCCACGUGUGGGAUUUUGUAUGUACCAUAUGAAUAAGGAUCGGCUAACUCCGUGCCAGCAGCCGCGGUAAUACGGAGGAUCCGAGCGUUAUCCGGAUUUAUUGGGUUUAAAGGGAGCGUAGGUGGAUUGUUAAGUCAGUUGUGAAAGUUUGCGGCUCAACCGUAAAAUUGCAGUUGAAACUGGCAGUCUUGAGUACAGUAGAGGUGGGCGGAAUUCGUGGUGUAGCGGUGAAAUGCUUAGAGAUCACGAAGAACUCCGAUUGCGAAGGCAGUUCACUGGACUGUAACUGACACUGAGGCUCGAAAGUGUGGGUAUCAAACAGGAUUAGAUACCCGAGUAGUC
rnacentral:rRNA from 1 species